CUAACCCACAAACUGUGAGAUCAUGACCUGAGCCGAAGUUGGACACUUGGCCGACUAACCCACCCAGGUGCCCGGAUAUUCAUUUAGGUUUUAAUUUCUCACUCAAGAGCUUCAAAGAGAUGGCAAGGCGACUUUUACUUCCUUCACUGUUAUGGACAGCUUUUUCUAGUCUUUUCACAGAUGCGCUGAUUCACUGGAGAGCUCAGAUUUAUGCAUCCACAUACCUUGGAUGUUAAAGCCACGGCCUCCACCCCUGCUGCCUAGGUCCCCUGAGGCUGCCGCACCUCAGCAGGAAAAGUGCCCCUCCAGAACUUUGCACAUGAUCACAUUUGUCUCGGGAUCCAGUGUAUCAUCAUCUCAUCGUCUAAGCCGACACCCCCACUCCUCAUCCAAACCCUUCUACGUUUUUGCUUCCUCUUCUCAAAAACACCAGUGCCGUCCCUUCGAAACUACUGCGUGCUGUUGACUUUCCUCUCCCUUUGGAGUUUGCGAGGACACAAAAGUGAGUCUUCUCACCGUGUUUCCGUCCAUGUUUUGUAUGCCCAGAACAGGGUCAGUCUGGGUGAGGAAGAAACAUUAGAUUCCUUUCACGAUGUAAAUACAAAGACUGCCUUCUCACCAAACAUCUCUGAAUAAGUCACCUCGGUAAACCAGACCCGUGUUGCAAAAGGAGGGCAGACGCACAUUUCUCAAUCCCAAUUACAGCCUGUUCCAGUCAUUUUGCAGUUACUCAUUUCCUGCCUUGUGGCCUUCUACUAGUUCACUGAACUGUAGUUCAAAUACUUUCUUAUUUCGUUUUUAAUUUACUCAAGUAUAUUGUAAUCUCCUUGGGGGAGAUCAGGGACCGUGUUUCAUGAUUUUGAUAUUUUUCAUGGCCUGCAGCACCCAGCAAGCACUGAAUCCCUAUUUUCUGUUUCUAUUUCUUUCCCUGCAUCCCGGGGCUUAAAUUAGGCAGCACUGCAAACAUGUUCAGAUCUGCCGGGUGAGUUUUUCUGCCAUAUAAAUAGAGGAAACACAGAUCAAAAGGGAACUUGCCGUGGGCUUGGGAGUAAGAGGCUGAGAAGUACGCAUGUCCUCAGCUGGGGUGAAGCGGCGAGGGUCAUUUUUCGAAGGAACAGCUCUAAGAUGCUCCUUCCGCCGUCCGUUUCUUCCAUUACAAACAGGCCGCGAUCUUUGUCAAUGUGGUCUUGUGAGCUGGAGCUGGCACUAUGCCAGGAUUUUCCAAAAUUAACCCACGCAACCCUCAUGUCAACCCAAUGUGUUUGGAGCCAUCACCACACCCAUUUUACAGACGCACAGAAAGGAAUCUGCGCACUCUCUCUAGCGCCUACAAGCAGCACGUGACAGCAUCUCCUAGGAGUUGUGCUGGAAUUCAUUGAGGUCACGUGCACACCCAUUGCUCAGGAAUCGUUGGAGAUCCUGUUAGUUCCUGCAUGAAGCCAGGGCAGCUGGGGGUGUUGGUGGAUCUCAUUCCCCCCCGCCCUCUGCCUUGCCAAUUCGUGGAGUCUGUGAUCCCCUGAGGGCACGUCCAGAGAGAAGGCUUCGCCCUCCAAGAGGAAUCUGUUAUGUCCAAAGUAAGAGAAAUCAGUUCCUUAUCUGUCCUCAGACUCCUCUGCACUUCCAGAGGGACUGAAGUAGCUUUUCAGAUUAGAUUUCAUUCUGCUCCAUAAGACUGUCUGAGAGCUGAGGGGAUUGCUUCGGGAAGAGAUUUUAUAGCAUGUGGUGUGCCUAGCCUUCUGACUUCCUGAGCAUUUCUCCCCCGAGGUCGCUUGUAAAAAGUUCAUUUUGGACCUGUACCCUUUAGGCUUUGUCCGGGGCCUGAAAAUAUGCUGCAGUACAUCUUGUGAUACCAGCCCACACACAGACCCUCGCUGGCACAUAUCCACAUACUGCUUUUUCUUGGUGUCGGGCCAAAGCACCUGCCCCUAGGCAAUGACGUUAUGGAAGGAUGUAGCGUGUGGUUUGAGGAAGCGGAGUGUGAUGCCCUCUUUCAUUUCUAGUCAAGGAAGCUGAUGCUCUUUGGUUCUCCGAAGGCUUCAUUUGGUCUUGCCUUGCUCCCUCAUUCAUUUGCUUGCUCAUUCAUUCACUGAGAAAAGAACAUUUUUAAAGCAUUUAGAUGGGGUGCCUGGGUGGCUCGGUUGGUUAAGCGUCUGACUUCGGC